rnacentral:rRNA from 1 species
AGUGAACGCUGGCGGCGUGCCUAAUACAUGCAAGUCGAACGAUGAAGUCCUAGCUUGCUAGGAUGGAUUAGUGGCGCACGGGUGAGUAAUAUAUAGUUAAUCUGCCCUACACAGAGGAACAACAGUUGGAAACGACUGCUUAUACCUCAUACUCCUAUUUGACAUAAGUUAAAUAGGGAAAGUCUUUUCGGUGUAGGAUGAGACUAUAUCGUAUCAGCUAGUUGGUAAGGUAAUGGCUUACCAAGGCUAUGACGCGUAACUGGUCUGAGAGGAUGAUCAGUCACAUUGGAACUGAGACACGGUCCAAACUCCUACGGGAGGCAGCAGUAAGGAAUAUUGCGCAAUGGGGGAAACCCUGACGCAGCAACGCCGCGUGGAGGAUGACACUUUUCGGAGCGUAAACUCCUUUUAUCAGGAAAGAAUAAUGACGGUACCUGAUGAAUAAGCACCGGCUAACUCCGUG